AAGUGUCUGUAUAAAAAAAUAAAUAUACCUGAUAACACCACAGAUAACCCAUCAGUUUGCUUAACUAGCAAUGUAUUUCAAAGAAGGAAAACGUGGGGCAUUUCUACAUUGAAAUAUUUGAGCUUUGAACAUUAGGUUAGCUUAAAAUUUUAUAUCCAUUUCAACAAACUUCUCUAACUACUAGUCAAAGACUUUCAUAGACACUUCAAGAAGCUUAACCUUUAAGCCAUUUAAGCUAAAGCUCCAUCUCUAGCUACACCACUUUCUUCAACCUAUAACUUAAAAACAAUUUUACAUUUUCUGGAUCAUUUCCAUUUUUCCUUAAUUUCCCAAGGACUUUAAGAGUGUCUUAGAGACAGAGAGAAAGAGAAAGAGAUGCCACCACCAGGUUGGGGACCACCACCAGGAGGAGGGCCACCAUUUUGUGGUUGCUUCGAAUUUCUUUGUGGAGGAGUUUGCCGCCUUCUGUCUUCAUGUAUGUAUGUGGUGUGCUGCUGCUGCAUAUUUGAGAGCUGUUGUGGGCCAAUGUUUGGUGGACCGCCUGGGCCGCCUGGACCACCUGGGCCUCCUGGGCCGCCACGAUUCUGAUCACCUCAUUUCUACCAAUUUAUCUUCGUCUUUGUGGUUCUUCUUGUUUAAAUAAUUAUCAUGAUGGGUCAAUGUUUGUUGUAUAUUGUAUUGUGAUGUUGAGGCUCACCAACUUCACCUCAAACGUUCAAAAUGGAUUUAUGCAGUUUCUUUGUAUCUUCACUUUUGGUUUGUAUAAGAUCACCCCUAUAUGGGUUUACGUUUUCAAUAAAAAUAUGUAUAUUUAUUUUAA